ensembl:snRNA U6 spliceosomal RNA
GUCUUCCUUCUGUAAACUAAACAUAAACUAAACAUAAACUAAAAUUGAGAUGAUUCAAAGAAGAUGGCAUUGCCUCUGUGCAAGGAUGACAUCCAAAUUCAGGAAAAAUUCUGUAUUUUU